rnacentral:rRNA from 1 species
UACGUAGGGUGCAAGCGUUAAUCGGAAUCACUGGGCUUAAAGGGUGCGUAGGCGGCCAUGUAAGUGAGGUGUGAAAUCCCUCGGCUCAACCGAGGAACUGCGCCUGAUACUGGGUGGCUUGAAUCCGGGAGAGGGAUGCGGAAUUCCAGGUGUAGCGGUGAAAUGCGUAGAUAUCUGGAGGAACACCGGUGGCGAAGGCGCAUCCUGGACCGGCAUUGACGCUGAGGCGCGAAAAGCCAGGGGAGCAAACGGG